rnacentral:rRNA from 1 species
UACGUAGGAUGCAAGCGUUGUCCGGAAUUAUUGGGCGUAAAGAGCGCGCAGGCGGUGUAUCAAGUCAGAUGUGAAAGAGGCCGGCUUAACCGGCAAGGGUCAUUUGAAACUGAUAGACUAGAGUGCAGCAGCGGAUAGCGGAAUUCCCGGUGUAGUGGUGAAAUGCGUAGAUAUCGGGAGGAACACCAGUGGCGAAGGCGGCUAUCUGGGCUGCAACUGACGCUGAGGCGCGAAGGCUAGGGUAGCAAACAGG